rnacentral:rRNA from 1 species
GUGACCUCAAAUCAGGUAGGACUACCCGCUGAACUUAAGCAUAUCAAUAAGCGGAGGAAAAGAAACUAACAAGGAUUCCCCUAGUAACUGCGAGUGAAGCGGGAAAAGCUCAAAUUUAAAAUCUGGCGGUCUUUUGGCUGUCCGAGUUGUAAUCUAGAGAAGUGUUAUCCGCGCUGGACCGUGUACAAGUCUCCUGGAAUGGAGCAUCAUAGAGGGUGAGAAUCCCGUCUUUGACAUGGACUGCCAGGGCUUUGUGAUGCGCUCUCAAAGAGUCGAGUUGUUUGGGAAUGCAGCUCAAAAUGGGUGGUAAAUUCCAUCUAAAGCUAAAUAUUGGCGAGAGACCGAUAGCGAACAAGUACCGUGAGGGAAAGAUGAAAAGAACUUUGGAAAGAGAGUUAAACAGUACGUGAAAUUGCUGAAAGGGAAACGCUUGAAGUCAGUCGCGUCGUCCAGGGAUCAACCUUGCUUUUGCUUGGUGCACUUUCUGGUUUGACGGGUCAGCAUCAAUUUUGACUAUUGGAAAAAGGUUGAGGGAAUGUGGCAUCUCUAGAUGUGUUAUAGCCCUUGGUCACAUACAAUGGUUGGGAUUGAGGAACUCAGCACGCCGCAAGGCCGGGUUUUAUACCACGUACGUGCUAGGAUGC